GAAUUCAGCUGCUUGGUUAUUAAUUCCUGUCCCUCAGAAAACAGCCAGACUGGAUGGCAGGAUCCACCAUUCCGGAGCAAAGCUGUCUGUUCACAUCCAUGGCAAAAUCCUGAGCUAAAUGCAGAAUCUGGAACAGAGUUCUCCUCAAAACAGCUCAGCAUGUGCUUCAAGUUAAAUCCACGGCCUCCCUUGAAUCCUUGGGGCUGUGCUGAUGGUUCAGCAGUGUUGAAGCACCAUCCCAAAUCAAGUGCAUCUGCAACUUCAAUGAGUAGUGGGAACGAAGCAAAUUGUUGCUGAAAUGUUUGGCUUUCUGCACCUCCAGAAGUGUGAAGGCUUGUACAGGGAGCUGAGCAAAACACACUCACUUGAAAGCUUUCCCUUUCCCAUGAGGUCAUUGUAGCUCAUCCCCGGAGCUGGAAAGGACUGAGCCUGGAGCACAGGCUGGGCUGGCCAGAUUCUCUUCUACUGCAAAUAAACCCGGCAAAGGAUUUUUAAAAAUGCACUUUUAAAAACAAGAUGGACGAAUUAUUUAACUUGGACACCAACUGGUUUAUUACCAAAGAAAAUAAACAGGAACAAACUAUUAAAAAAGUCUUUAAAACAAAACUAUGUGAGGAAGAUACAGCCCUAAAGUCCUGUUGGUCUUGAAUGCAAAAUUUCAAUGACAGUGAUUUUAUUUUUUCUGAAAUGCUGUGGAAAACAUUGCUCCCCAUCCCCUCCAUGCAUUUUUAAAGUUUCUGAAUGUAUGAAUUAUGUAAAAGAGCUCAAUUAAAGGAUUCAAAAUGCUAGUUAAUGAAGGCUGCAAUUAACGUGGCACAAAAUGCAAGUGAAUCACCAACAACAGCUCUACAAUAGGAAAACAAGUUGGUUUCAGGUGUGGUUCAUGUUGGCUCAAACAUUCUCACAGCCACAAAAUU
rnacentral:lncRNA from 1 species